GGGAAUUACGAGCAAUGCUUAAAACCCAAAGGAUUUGACGGUGUCCCACCCCCCUAGAGGAGCCUGUUCUGUAAUCGAUGAUCCCCGCUACACCUCACCACUCCUCGCUUAGUCUGUAUACCUCCGUCGAAAGCCUACCAUGUGAACGUUUGCAGUAGGCCCAAUGAUUCCCGUCAGUACGUCAGGUCAAGGUGCAACUUAAGGAGUGGGAAGUUAUGGGCUACAAUUUCUAAUUUAGAACAAACGAAAGACUAUGUGAAACCCUGGUCACGAAGGAGGAUUUAUUAGUAAAAAGAAAUUAGAGUAUUCUUUUUAACCCGGCUCUGGGACGCGUACACACCGCCCGUCACCCUCUUCAACAGUAUUUAACCCCACGUUUCUAACUCACCCCAUCCGCCCCUAGAAGAGGCAAGUCGUAACAUGGUAAGUGUACUGGAAAGUGCACUUGGAUAACAAAAUGUAGCUUAACUAAAGCCCCCCGCUUACACCGUGGAAAUACCUGUUCAACUCAGGUCAUUUUGAGCUCAAAACCUAGCCGCGCACACUCGUAUGUUCCCUCAACCCACACCCUCCCCCACAUAAAACAUUUUACCAUUUUAGUACAGGUGAUUAAAAAAUUUCUACGCGCUUCAGAAAAAGUACCGUAAGGGAAAAAUGAAAUAAUAAUGAAAUAAUCCUCAAGCCCCUAACAGCA
rnacentral:rRNA from 1 species